UACGUAGGGACCAAGCGUUGUUCGGAUUUACUGGGCGUAAAGGGCGCGUAGGCGGCGUGUUAAGUCAGCUGUGAAAUCUCCAAGCUUAACUUGGAACGGUCAGCUGAUACUGAUGUGCUAGAGUGCAGAAGGGGCAAUCGGAAUUCUUGGUGUAGCGGUGAAAUGCGUAGAUAUCAAGAGGAACACCUGAGGUGAAGACGGGUUGCUGGGCUGACACCGACGCUGAGGCGCGAAAGCUAGGGUAGCAAACGGG
rnacentral:rRNA from 1 species